UACGGAGGGUGCAAGCGUUGUUCGGAUUGAUUGGGCGUAGAGCGCACGUAGGCGGGUUCAUAAGUCGAAUGUGAAAGCCCUAGGCUCAACCUAGGAAUUGCAUCCGAAACUGUGAGUCUUGAAUACUCGAGAGGCUGGUGGAAUACCUGGUGUAGGAGUGAAAUCCGUAGAUAUCAGGUGGAAUAUCGGAGGCGAAGGCGGCCGGCUGGUGAUGUAUUGACGCUGAGGUGCGAAAGCGUGGGGAGCAAACAGG
rnacentral:rRNA from 1 species